rnacentral:tRNA from 1 species
GGGGAUGUAGUAUAACCUGGCUAGAAUGGUCGGCUCCAGACCGUCAGAUGGGGGUUCAAAUCCCUCCAUCCCCA